rnacentral:rRNA from 1 species
GACGAACGCUGGCGGCGUGCUUAACACAUGCAAGUCGAACGGAAAGGCCCUGCUUUUGUGGGGUGCUCGAGUGGCGAACGGGUGAGUAACACGUGAGUAACCUGCCCUUGACUUUGGGAUAACUUCAGGAAACUGGGGCUAAUACCGGAUAGGAGCUCCUGCUGCAUGGUGGGGGUUGGAAAGUUUCGGCGGUUGGGGAUGGACUCGCGGCUUAUCAGCUUGUUGGUGGGGUAGUGGCUUACCAAGGCUUUGACGGGUAGCCGGCCUGAGAGGGUGACCGGCCACAAUGGGACUGAGAUACGGCCCAGAAUCCUACGGGAGGCAGCAGUGGGGAAUAUUGCAAAAUGGGCGGAAGCCUGAUGCAGCAACGCCGCGUGCGGGAUGACGGCCUUCGGGUUGUAAACCGCUUUCGGCUGUGACGAAGCGUGAGUGACGGUAAUGGGUAAAGAAGCACCGGCUAACUACGUG